rnacentral:rRNA from 1 species
CUACGGGCGGCUGCAGUGGGGAAUAUUGGACAAUGGGGGAAACCCUGAUCCAGCAAUGCCGCGUGUGUGAAGAAGGCCUGCGGGUUGUAAAGCACUUUCGGUUGGGAGGACUGCUUCUAGCACUAAUAUUGUUGGAAGUUGACGUUACCUUCAGAAGAAGCACCGGCUAACUCCGUGCCAGUAGCCGCGGUAAUACGGAGGGUGCAAGCGUGAAUCGGAAUUACUGGGCGUAAAGCGCGCGUAGGCGGCUAGAUCAGUCGGGUGUGAAAGCCCCGGGCUUAACCUGGGAACUGCAUCCGAUACUGUCUAGCUUGAGUACAGGAGAGGAGAGUGGAAUUCCACAUGUAGCGGUGAAAUGCGUAGAUAUGUGGAGGAACACCAAUGGCGAAGGCAGCUCUCUGGCCUGAUACUGACGCUGAGGUGCGAAAGCGUGGGGAGCAAACAGGAUUAGAUACCCCUGUAGUC